UUAACUAUGAAAGAAUAACAAUAAUAAUAAUAAUAAUAAUAAUAAUAAUAAUAAUAAUAAUAAUAGUCCAAAUGAUUUGAAGAGUUAUAAAGUAAUAUCUGAACAAGUAUUUUUACCGAGUGUACGUCUGGAUAAGUUUUUAGCUGAUUUACAAAAUGGUAUGGUAAAAUUUUGAAAUGAAAUUACAUCGUCUGGUUCUUUUUUGAUUGAGUAUUCAUCAAAUCCCAAAUGCAAGAGUACUCUCAAUCCUGCGACACUAAGACCGUCCAUAGAGUAUUUAAACAUAACACAAGUUCCUGAAACACCAGUACUUCCCAAUUGAGGACUAUGCAAUCGAGCUCCUGAAUUUUUGCUUGUUACUCCUUUCGAUGGUGUUUGUGAUGUCUCCACGAAAGCAUAUCUAAACACAGACCCUCCUUCCAUUGUAUUGGUUGUAGAAUCCGAUGAUGGUCCACCAAACCAAUUAGUUCCUAAGCCAGAUCCUGCCAUCCAAUCUAAUGAAUCGCUACCAUUUUGCCAUUCGCAGAGAGUCAAUGAUGGAAGUGGACCAAAAUCACAGAAGACUUCGUCUAUCAUCGCAAUUGAAAGUGAUGCAGAAAAUGGUAGCUGCUUUGUCACCAAUUCGUAAAGAAUAACACCCAUACUCCAUACAUCCGAUUUUAAGUCGUACGGUUGAUUCGAAAGCAUUUCUGGAGCCAUGUAGCAGUAAGAUCCAGCGCAACACAUGGA